rnacentral:rRNA from 1 species
GACGAACGCUGGCGGCGUGCUUAACACAUGCAAGUCGAACGGAAAGGCCCUGCUUUUGUGGGGUGCUCGAGUGGCGAACGGGUGAGUAACACGUGAGUAACCUGCCCUUGACUUUGGGAUAACUUCAGGAAACUGGGGCUAAUACCGGAUAGGAGCUCCUGCUGCAUGGUGGGGGUUGGAAAGUUUCGGCGGUUGGGGAUGGACUCGCGGCUUAUCAGCUUGUUGGUGGGGUAGUGGCUUACCAAGGCUUUGACGGGUAGCCGGCCUGAGAGGGUGACCGGCCACAUUGGGACUGAGAUACGGCCGAGACUCCUACGGGAGGCAGCAGUGGGGAAUAUUGCACAAUGGGCGGAAGCCUGAUGCAGCAACGCCGCGUGCGGGAUGACGGCCUUCGGGUUGUAAACCGCUUUCGCCUGUGACGAAGCGUGAGUGACGGUAAUGGGUAAAGAAGCACCGGCUAACUACGU